rnacentral:rRNA from 1 species
CUCCUACGGGGGGCAGCAGUAGGGAAUUUUCGUCAAUGGGCGCAAGCCUGAACGAGCAAUGCCGCGUGAACGAGGAAGGUCUUCGGAUCGUAAAGUUCUGUUGAAGGGGAAAAAGAGCGGAGAGAGGAAAUGGUCUCCGAUUGAUAUUACCCUUCGAGGAAGUCACGGCUAACUACGUGCCAGCAGCCGCGGUAAUACGUAGGUGGCGAGCGUUAUCCGGAAUGAUUGGGUGUAAAGGGAGCGCAGGCGGUCUGGCAAGUCUGAUGUGAAAUACCGGGGCUCAACUCCGGGACUGCAUUGGAAAC